GAGAUGAACUGACGAUUGACGAAGUUCAAGAUUAAUAACGCAAAGAAAAGUAGAAAACAGAACUAUUAAUUUACUAGUUUGGAAACGUACAACCGUGGCUGCACGAACAAUAGUAAAACAAAUCAAAUGAAAAAAAUGUGGUCGUCGUGCCAACUGCGAUUUCGUCUCUUAUCACAAACUCCAUGCUGUUUUAGCGGAUUUGAGACCUGGGCUAGCCUUCGUAACAACCUAAUAUCCAAGUUUUGCUUGUUCCAGUAUUGACCUGUCAGCAGCAACAAUCCCAGCAUCGUUGCAAGGAUAAACAGCAUCCAGUUUGAUUGGAGGACCUACCGAUGUCGGCCAAGUUAUGGAUUUCUUCUUCUCCUUUCUCUAAAUCUCUUCUGUCCUCGUGUACACCCAUGUGUGUGUGGGUGUAUUCACGAGGACCCCCUUUUCCCUAUCCCGCCUGGGAGAUUCAACUUAUCAGCGGACGGAGCACUUGUGGAUGCCUGGCCGUAUUUCCCAGGCAUAAAGGUAGGAAACAUACAUCUCCAUUCUUCCUUUUUUUUCCUAUUUGGUGGCGUUGAUUAUAAAUCGUUACGGAAUACGAUUAUUCCUGAGCUAGGCCGUUGACUGGAACUAAGUUUUCUCUUGCCGAUUUUGUCGACUCAAUUAGGGUUCAUUAAAUAACUCGUUUGUAGAACGACUACACAUUAUCAGGCCUGUUUUCGUACCUCACAACUUAUGUGUGGGUAAACAAUCCAAUCUGGAAAUAUUUUAAAUUUCAACACUCCAAGCAAAGUGCAACUUUUCAGAAAAUUCAAUUAGCCAAAAGGGACUUGCCGUCACACCCAACACCUUCUCGUAAUAACUUGAAAAAAAAAUCUG
rnacentral:lncRNA from 1 species